AACAAAAUCCUUUUUCUUCUCCCCCCUGCCUAACCCUCGAGUCCGGCGCCAUCGACCGCUCGUUCCACUCGCAUCCAGUCGUUGUUGAAGCCGCGCCGACCUUCACAUGUGAAGGAGCCAAGCGAUGCCACGACUCCCAAUCGAAGCCUGCGCCUCCUCGCAUUUCCGUUCGUGAGUGCCAGCCCGAGCCGCCAUCCUCCAUUCAUUACUGCACUGCCCAAUCGAGGGUGUCAUCUCAUCUGUCAGCCGCACUUCAGAUCCGUCAAUCGUGGGUCUGCCGCCACUGACCAGAUCCGUCUAGCCCAGAUCUGCUUCAUCUCACCAUCCGCCGCUCCAGCCACUGCCCCAACCGCACCGCUGCCGGUCGCCAUCGUCCCUACCGCAUCGGGUCCGCUUUGGUUUUCGUCGGAAUCUUGAAUUUGGGUUUAAGGUCUCUAUCCAUCAGAAUUAGAGGUUGUUUGUCUUUGUGGAUUUUAGUGGAGCUUUUGGAGCCAAAGUCUGAAAGUGACCAUUGAUCAAGCCACACUUUAGGUUUAAUUUGAGUUUCAUUAUCGAGUAGUUGCUUGGAGGAAAGUAUUUGGACUUGCGAUUUGAGGUAAAGGUAGACAAUUGUCAAGCGGAAUUUGUGAUCGAGCCACUAGGACCAGUUUUAUGCUUC